rnacentral:rRNA from 1 species
GUGAGGAAUUUUGCGCAAUGGGCGAAAGCCUGACGCAGCAAUGCCGCGUGGAUGAUGAAGGCCUUCGGGUCGUAAAAUCCUGUCAAGUGGGAAGAAACCCCCUCCGUUAAUAGCGGCAGGGGGGUGACUGUACCACUGGAGGAAGCCCCGGCUAACUCCGUGCCAGCAGCCGCGGUAAUACGGAGGGGGCAAGCGUUGUUCGGAAUUAUUGGGCGUAAAGGGCGCGUAGGCGGCCCUGUAAGUCGGUUGUGAAAUCCCUUGGCUCAACCAAGGAACUGCAACCGAAACUGCAGAGCUAGAGUCCGGGAGAGGGUAGUGGAAUUCCCAGUGUAGCGGUGAAAUGCGUAGAUAUUGGGAGGAACACCAGUGGCGAAGGCGGCUACCUGGACCGGUACUGACGCUGAGGCGCGAAAGCUAGGGGAGCAAACAGG